UACGGAGGGUGCAAGCGUUAUCCGGAUUCACUGGGUUUAAAGGGUGCGUAGGUGGGAAUGUAAGUCAGUGGUGAAAUCUCCGUGCUUAACAUGGAAACUGCCAUUGAUACUAUGUUUCUUGAAUUUUCUGGAGGUCAGCGGAAUAUGUCAUGUAGCGGUGAAAUGCUUAGAUAUGACAUAGAACACCAAUUGCGAAGGCAGCUCACUACGGGUAUAUUGACACUGAGGCACGAAAGCGUGGGGAUCAAACAGG
rnacentral:rRNA from 1 species